rnacentral:rRNA from 1 species
AUGUUCACCACCAACACCAUUUCCGCCCGGGUUACGACCCCUGGUAGCACAAGCGUGCCGUGGUGGCUCACUAUCGUCUAUGGCCCCCAGGACAACAACGCCAAGAUCGCUUUUCUACAGGAGAUCCGCGACAUCCGCGACGCCUGCCCCGGUCCAUGGCUCAUCUGCGGAGACUUCAAUAUGAUCUACCGUGAUGAGGACAAGAACAACGACAAUCUCAAUCGGAGAAUGAUGGGGCGAUUCCGACGCGUCCUCAACGACCUCGCGCUCAAGGAGAUUUACCUCAGCGGCCGGCGCUAUACAUGGUCCAAUGAGCAGAGCCCGCCCACCUUGGUCCAUCUCGAUCGGGUGCUGUGCUCUACGGACUGGGAUGAGCUGCACGUCGAAUGGCACCUGCGUUGCCUGGCCUCGGUCGUCUCGGAUCACUCCCCCUUUUUGCUCGAUUGCUCGCCUCUCCCAUCAGCGCACCGGCGAUUCCACUUCGAGGAGUACUGGACUCGCCUCGCCGGUUUCCCGGAGAUCGUGGCGACCUCGUGGCAUUCGGUGGAUGACGCCGAUCCGUUCCGGCGUUUCAUACGGCGCAUGCAGGCCACAGCGCGUAAGCUCACCAGCUGGAGCGCGCGUUCCGUUGGUAACGUGCGAGACCAGCUUGCGAUCUCUCGCGAGCUGCUGCUCCGCUUCGACGCCGCACAAGAACAGCGCGCCCUAUCACCGCAUGAAGACUGGCUGCGUCGUCAGAUCAAGCUCUCCUACCUUGGCCUUGCUUCCCUUGAGCGGACGAUUGCCCAGCAGCGCGCACGCAUUGCAUCUCUCAAAGACGGCGAUGCGAACACUACGUUGUACCAUCGCCAGUGCACGUACCGCAAGCAGAAGAACUGGAUCCAUGGCAUCUCUGUCGACGGCGCCGUGCUCACUGAUCCUAGCGACAUGGCCGCGGCCACUUUCGAGCACUUUGACAGCCGGAUUGGGACGGACGUGCCGCGUGACUGCACCAUUGACCUGUCGCAGUUCAUUGAGCCCUCAAACCUGGAGGACCUCAACGCGCCAUUCAGCGAAGAUGAGAUUUGGCAAGCCAUCAAAAGCUUGCCGUCUCGCAAGGCGCCCGGCCCUGACGGCUUCACCGCAGAGUUCCUCUGCUCCUGCUGGCCAGUCAUCAAGCACGACCUCCGAUGCGUCUUUGACCAGGUUUAUGCGCUGCGUGGCCGAGGGUUUAGCUGCCUUAACCAGGCGCUAAUUACGCUCCUCCCCAAGCGCGCCGAUGCCAAUGGCUUGGGGGAUUAUAGGCCCAUAAGCCUAAUUCACAUUGUUGCCAAGGUCCUGGCCAAGCUGCUUUCGCUCCGCCUAGCCCCCAAGCUCAACAAUCUUGUCAGCAACGUCCAGAACGCGUUCAUCCACGGGCGAAGUCUUCACGACAACUUCAUCCUUGUGCGUCAAUCCGCGCGGCUUUUGCAUCAACUUGGUGCCCCUCGCGUGCUUUUGAAGCUUGACCUGGCGCGGGCUUUCGACUCCGUCUCGUGGCCUUUCCUGUUUGAGGUGUUGCGAUGCCGUGGCUUCGGCAACCGCUUCCUUGAUUGGAUCGCCCUUCUCCUGUCGUCGGCCAGCACCAAGGUUCUCCUCAACGGCAACCCCGGACCAGCGAUUUGGCACCGCUGUGGACUGCGCCAAGGUGAUCCAGUUUCCCCGCAGCUCUUCGUCCUGGCAGUCGAUACGUUGGGCAGGCUCUUCCAUCGCGCGGUCGAGCUCCGGGUCAUGCAGCAGCUCCACCCGCGCCGCACCAUUCCUACCAUAUCCCUCUACGCCGACGACGUAAUUCUCCUAUGCCACCCCUCGCCUGAUGAUAUUGCGGCGGUGAAGGAGAUCUUGCAGCUCUAUGGGCGCGCCUCCGGCCUGCACGUGAACUUCCAGAAGAGCGCUGCGGCCCUCAUCCGCUGCGACACCGCGGACGCUGCUCAUGUUGUCGCGCACCUGGGAUGCCCCAUCGUCGAAUUCCCGCUCACUUACUUGGGCAUCCCGCUCACGCUGCGUGGCCCCACUGCUGCCCAGCUCCAACCCGUCGUCGACAAGGUCGCUGGGAAGCUACCCUUCUGGAAGGCUUGGCUCAUGAACAAAGCCGGUCCCCUUGCCUUCGUCAAGGCUGUCUUGAGCACGAUCCCCAUACAUCAGCUCCUUGUGCUUGCGCCGCCAAAGAAGACCAUCAAACUCUUGGAGAAGAUUGAGAGAGGAUUCCUUUGGGCUGGCCGCGCCGAGGCCAAUGGUGGCAAUUGCCACGUCAACUGGCGGCGCGUCUGUCGGCCUAUCUAG